rnacentral:lncRNA from 1 species
GCAGAACUUCAUCCUCCCGAGGGAGCUUGAACUUGAUCCGGUAAGUGAAAGGGAGGUUCUGAUAGAGUAAGGGCUUGACCAGAUCAGCAUCAUUGAGACAUAGCUCUGGCUGCCUUGAAGUGGAUGGAUUGGUGGCCGGGGAUGCAGAGAGAUUGAGGACAGAGGAGCAGGGCACAGUUUUGACCAUAUCGUUGUGCUUCGGGCACAUGCUACAGCUCCAGGGUCCUAUGAAAAUGAGAACAGAACUGCAUAAAAGCUGUGUCACUGUAGCCUGCAAAUAUAUGCAGACCUCAAGCAAUGAUCUGCUCAUGCAGAGUUUCAACUGUUUGUUUUCAAAGCUAUACAACUCAAAGCCUCUCAAAGCCAGAAAUACCUAAUCGUAUAAGGGGAUACAAUUGUUUACAUCUUGGAUGAGAUAUAUAGGUUUAUGCACAAGUGUUUUCAUACUCAUACUAAACAUUUUCAGGUUGUUUUUAACUUAGUUGAAUAGUCCACCAACACGAGAACUAACAAAAGGGUGAAAUUUUGUUAAACCCAACUAAAAAGUAAAUAUAAUCCCAAGACUAUGACUGAACGUUGGUGUUUUUUCCAAGGAUGCUUUCAAACAUACCCAAAGAAAGGCUUAAACUUUGGGCAAAACCUUGGUCUUGGUAUAAAACAUGCUUUUUAUAGUGGAGCAUCACAAACUAUGAUGUUCCAACCCAAAAGACACAUUCUGAUUUGAAGUCCCAUUUUCCUCAGAAGGAAGACACAUCCUGCUAAAGCCAGAGGUGCUUGCUGUCCAUCCCAACCUCAUUUGGAAUAUUUCUGUGGCUCAGAUUCAGUGAACUCCAAACACGUGGACCAGUGCUCCUGUGGCCAUCACACUACGUCAAGGGCUGGACUUGGCUUUAGAAUCCUUGCUCCAAAGACCACUGCUGUCAAAGAAAGAACAAGCAGACAUCCCACCACAGGAGGUAAACAAAGAGCUCUCAGUCAGAGAGUUGGGGAAAAGGAAGACAGGCACCACUCUAAGGAAAAGGAAUCCCAUUUUUCCUUUUUUUCUUUCCUCUUUUUUUUCUUUUUAGGGCCAUGCCUGCAGCAUAUGGAAGUUCGUGAGCUAAAGGUUGAAUUGGAGCUGCAGCCUCUAGCCUACACCAUAGCCACAGCAAUGCCAGAUCCAAGCUAUGCUGCAGCUGGUAGCAACACCAGACUCUUAACCCACUGAGCAAGGCCAGGGAUCAAACCCACGUCCUCACAGAGAUAAUGUCAGGUCCUUAACCCACUGAGCCACAAUGGGAACUCCCUCUACUUCUGCUCUUGUAUCUCUGGAUGAGCGAGUUAAGCCAAGGUCUUUUGUAAAGAUCUAGCCUCUUUCCCCAAAGGCAUGUCUGAACGUGCUGGUUUUCAGACUUUCAUUUGUAGUAGGAAAUAGGGUACCAUAUUUUGACCUGCUAAGUUAAAUUCCCCCAAAUUUAAAACUGAAAAAAAUAAAAUAAAAUAAAACUGAAAGCUAUUCCUUGGCAUUUAAGAGUCAUGAUUGACUCUUAGUAGCAUGGGAUUCAUGAAGUAGGUUCUUCCUCAGGAGCGUGCAGGGACAAGGGAUGUUUGGUAGAACAGGAUUUGAGUAUUUUUGGAUUCCUGGUUAUUAUGCUAUGUAAAAUGCAUCAAUCUUAUCUUAGUCGCUGUCAAUAUUGUCAAAGUUAUAAAAUUAUCUUGUAUAUUUCAGGGUUAAUAAAAUAUAGAUUUUAUCUUAACAUAGGUUGGUAAGAAAUGGUGGUAGUUAUGUAAUCCCAUGAUGGUGGUUGGGCAGGUAGAGAUUAUAAAUAAAUAGGUUUUUGGUGGAUGGGUUUAUAGAAACAAAAUCUAUUUGUUAUAUAGCCCAAGGGCUUUUCCCCUCCUUUCCUGAAGGUGCGGUUAAUGGGAAUAGAUAGUUUCCCAGUAUCAGAUGCAUUUUAGACUGGAAUUCUGCAUAGAUUAUAAAGUGUGGUGAGGUGGAAAGGGAACAGGAUUGAGAGCCAAGAAACCUGGAUUUCUCUCAUCAACUCAUUUUGUGAGUUGGCAUAAGGGACAAUAUUUGGGUCAGGGUCCCCAUCUGCACAGUGGAUUAAUUGGAUAUCAUUUCUAUAUUGCUUUCCCCUUCAAGUAUUCUAUGCCUGUCCCUAUUUGAAGGAGAGAACAGCUUAGACUGAAAUAUGCUUGCUGGAGAAAAGACUGGAUUUCAGAAAUGGACAAUUUUGGAAUUCCCGUUGUGGGUCCGCAGGUUAUAAAUCUGACUAAUACCCAUGAGGAUGUAGGUUCAAUCCCUGGCCUUGCUCAGUGGGUUAAGGAUCUGGUGUUAUUGCAAGCUGUGGUGUAGUAUGCAGGUGCGGCUUGGAUCUGGCAUUGCUGUGGCUGUGGCAAAGGCUGGCAGCUGCACCUCCAAUUCAACCCCUAGCCUUGGGAACUUCCACGUGCUGCAGGUGUGGCCGUAAAAAGAAAAUAAUAAAGGAGUUCCCGUCGUGGCGCAGUGGUUAAUGAAUCCGACUAGGAACCAUGAGGUUGCGGGUUCGGUCCCUGCCCUUGCUCAGUGGGUUAAUGAUCCGGCGUUGCCGUGAGCUGUGGUGUAGGUUGCAGA